rnacentral:lncRNA from 1 species
GGGGAUCGAACUCGGGUCCUUGAGCUUGCGCAGCAGGCAGCAAAACCACUGAUCUAAAUACCGGGCCCAAGCUGUUUUUAAUUUGCUAUUGAAUGUGGUGCUCCCUCGGGCAUAGGGAAACCGGAGAGGCAGGGUGGGGUGGCCUUGGCCCGUGCGCACGUGGGUGGGGCUGGCUGGUUGCCUGUUUUCCCUCCCAUCAGCCACCGAGCAGAGGGUCCUCGGGGACGCCCGGGGCGGAGUCAGCCCAGGCACCUCUCCUUUCCCCUGUGCCGGCCAUCCUAACUCACAGGGGCCACUAGGCAGAGGCGGGUGGUGGUGGUGGGUUUGGGGGGCAGCUCAGAUUCUGGCCCAGGAAGGGAGGGAGUUGGUGGGUGGCAGGGGCGGGCUCCCAGUCCCUGACACGUCAGUCAUGCAAUGCACGUUCAGGAAAAGAUUAAGAAUUUCAGGACAGUGACCACAGAACAUGAAAGCCACAAAGCAGACUUCCAAGCACAGGGCCUCAUGAGUGGUUCGAGUCCUUCAUGUGUUGAAAUUUAAUCCUCAUCGGGAGGUAUUAAGAGGGCAGUUAACUUAAUUGCAUAUGGUGUUUGCAGGUGAGGGCAUUGGGUCGUGAUUAGGAUUAAAUAAGGUAAAUGACUGCUUCCGGGUGGCUUUGCAGCACAGAAGGGAGAGACCAGAAACAUACACAUGAACACAUGAACAUCUCUUGCCACGUGACUCCCUGCGCCACCUGGGAACUCUGCCCCCAAGAAGGUCAUCACCAGUUAUGGGCCCCUGAACCUGCAGAAUGCAGGUAUGGGUGGAGCCCAGAACUCUGCACAUCGGGGCUGGAGAAUCAGAGAUCACCCACAUUCACUCUGACUCAUGAAGCACCUGCCAAGUUGGGAUUAGAUAUAAAAGAGAUGUUAUUAAAGCCAGGUGGUGCACACCUGUAAUGCCAGCUAUUCAGAAGGCUGAGGCAGGAGGAUGGUAAGUUCCAGCCUGGGCAACUUAGUAAGAACCUGUUUCAAAAUGAAAAGGGCUGAAGAUACAGUUCAGUGCUCCCUGAGUACAAGCCCCCAUGCCCAAACAAAAACAAAAACCCCAAAACAAAACAAGCAAAAAAACAAAGAGAUAUGUUGAGGAAAUGUCUGUGGAGGAUAAAACAGUAGGAAUCGAAUGAGGAGUGGGCUAGGAUCACAUUGCAGAUGGGAGCCUUAGAAGGAGGGAUGGGCAGUAGGCAGGGUCAAGUUUAGGGGACCAUUCCCACAAGCCCACCCUUGCUUCUGAUACCCAUUGCAAGUCUGGAGGUCUCCAAGAAUAGGGGCUCAAUAAUUUACAAGAAGAUUCACUAAACUCACUAAGAGCUUUUCUACUCACAAUGACAGUUUAUUACAGGGAAAGGAUACACUGGGCUCAGCUACACUGGGCUCAGGGGUAAGAGUCCCUCCCAAUUUCCAACUGUUGGAAGAGCUCUAAGGAGGGCAGAAAGGAGUUGGAGAAAGCAAAGUUAGCUAAAGUCUGGGAGAUGGCAAAAAUGAGACACAAGAUGGACAGAGAUAAUUACUGGGCUUCCAAGAACAAUUUAUGAAAACCAAAUAUAUAUCCUUAAAGUAGAAUCUGUAUCUGAAUACCCUGAUGCACCUCCCCUUGUAAUAUUUGUAACAAAAAUUAAUAUGAACGAAUUAAUAGCUUUAAUGGAAUGGUGGCUCUAAGAGCCAUUAUCAGUGUUAGCCAAACUGCAGAAUUCAUAUAGCAGCCAGGUUUUUUUGCAAGAGCUUUGGUGCUUAAUGAUGUUUAAAGAAAAUAUGAAACUCCCCAGCUGCCUGAAGGACAAUGUUACAGCAAUUAAUCAGAAAGAAAAAGCAGAUCCCCUUCCCUUCCUCCCGUUCGAUUAAGCAGCCUUCAUUUUCCACAGUAGUGAACUGUCUGACCAUGUCUCGCAGACCUUCACGUUCUAGAAGAAUGUUGCUAUUCAAAGACAAUUUAUGGUAAGAUGCUGUAAGGAUACUGAUUUUCUUGUCCAUUUAGAAUAUGCAGGUUGUGCUGUAGUAACCACAAAAAUCAGCCAGGGGAAGGAACGCAGAGUGGGGGCCAGCAAAGCUCCCAAACUGGAGCUUCCAUUGUCCUUUGUGGCUGUGUUACUUUCCAGGCAUUGGGCAUGCAACAGUAUUCUCAGAGUGCUGCCAAACAGGGAAGCUCCCCCUGUUGGUACCCUGUGACCUGCAGCUCCAUCGUAAAUCAUGCUGUUGGUCUUUCUGGUGUGGCCACCCUCACCCUAAGUCACCUUGUUCCUAUCCCCAGAUAGACAAAGAUUGCCUCCCACAAGCCAGGGGUAAAGGCUGGGCCUCCACCAGGGCAAGGUUAAAUUCUUUGCUGCAUAGGUAGGAAGAGUCUUAGACUACCGCAUGGCUGUAAACAGGGCUGAGACCCAAAGGUCCUCUUUGGAGGGGUUCUGGUUCUGGCAGGGGUGGUCCCCAUUAGUGUAUUACUCACCCCCUGUAUUACUCCAUGUUCCACUGCUAUCAUGAAAUACUGGAGGCAAGCUUCUUUAUAAAGAAAAGAGGUUUAUUUUGGCCCAUGGUUCUAGAGGUACAAGUUGGAGGAGCUGCACCUGGUGAUGGCUGGGGGGGUGCAUCUUCCAGGCUGCUGUGCCACCUGGGCAGUGUGCCAGGGGUGGGGUGAGCUUGCCCGUUAGCCUUCCUGCUGUAGUGCACUGCCCAUCUCCUUCACCUGAGGUGAUUCUGUUUGUCUCCUGACUGGGGGUGGGGUGGGGUGCUGCCAGGCCCUGCUGUGCAGGGGCCCAGGCCUGGGACUGGACACUGACCUCUGCUGUUGUGUUACUGGGAAUGGGGUGAUCAGUGCACACGAGGAGAACAAAGCAAGGACGACAGAGGCUGGGGGUGGGUGACAGAUGGCCUUCUACCAUAGGUCUCUGCUGGGGCUUCUGCUCAGCUGCUGCUCUCUGGGGACCCCAUGCUUCUUUGCCUCCACCCCAGUGAGGAGCAGCCUGAGGGGCAGCAGCUCGGGGCCCCCUGUGUCAGGAGAGUUUCGUGUGUCCGGGGUGACAGGCGAG